CUAUGUGGACUUUAAUUCCCAUUCCAAGAUCUCAGAGUCUUAUUUUGAGUCAAGUCGUUCCUCAUAAAUAAAUAAAUAUUUUUUCAAUUUAUCAUUAUUAUUUUUUAAAAUAUGUGAAUAAGAAAUGGAUAAUUAAAAUAACUUUAAAGCCAUAUUAAUUUAGCACAAUUAACUUUAGGUAACCAUUUUUAUAAAAGGAUAUUGUGGGAUCCUAAUACUUUUUCCACAAUCAAUUGACUCUUAAACAUAUUUUUUGAUUUCACAAGCCAUUCUUACCCCUUUUAAUUGGUUUCCCAAAGUUUUUCUCAAAAUUUUGGUGGUAACUUCCAUUCUGUCAAUUUCUACUACAAAGGCUGGAACCUCCGCUCUCACGUGCCAUCUGUGUCACAUUUUUUGAGUGCCAUAAUGGAAAAAUAGUUGUGGAUGUCGAGGGGUUUAGAGGGGGGAUCUGGUGCCCGUGGGACUCGAACUACAUCGGAGUUCAUGUGGUUGAGCAACACUUCUAGUUUGUUCAUCUAAGAAUUGAAAAUAUGAAACGUGAGCAUUGGUGGAUGACUAUUGUCUAUGCAAGUCCUAAUUCCAAUGUAAGGAAAAACCUUUGGAAAGAACUUAGCAGGCUAAAAGAGGAAAUUCAUGGCAGCUGGUGUUAGGGGGUGACUUUAAUGCUACCCUCUUAAACAAUGAACGAAGAUCGAAUGCUUAGCAUAUUACUAGAGUUGACAAGGAUUUUGAAAGGUAGGCCCUUGAUUGUCAAAUGAGUGAUAUUGGGUUUCUUGGACUAAAAUUCACUUGGCACAAAGGAGAAAUGGAGAGCAGGAUUGAUAGAGUUAUGGCCAACAUAAACUGGAUUGAUGCUUUUCGGGAUGGUACAGUGACACACUUACUUCAGAGUUAUGGCCAACAUUAGUUCUCAUCAGACCAGAGACCUCUUCUUGUUUGUUUGCAAACUCAAGAUUAUGGGAGGCAAGAUAAACGUCCUUUUCGCUUUAUUACUGCAUGGGUCCUACAUGAAAAGUUUGAAACUCUAGUCAGAGAAAAAUGGAAGGCUUCAAUCUCAUGGAAGGAUCAAACUGAACAGUUUACUGAGGCUUAUUUUAAGUGGAACAGGGAGAUAUUCAGGCUCACUGACUUCAGAAAAAGAAAACUUUAUAAACGGUUGGGAGAUAUUUCUAUAGCAAUGAAAAAUGGCGAACAAAACUGAAGGCUUGAAAAGCUUCAAAUGGAGUUGUGGAUCGAGCUUGAAGAAGUAUCAAUGCUGGAAAACUUAAUCUGGGCCCAUAAAGCCGAAAGCAAUUGGGCUUUACUGGGGAUAAGAACAGGAAAUAUUUCCAUAAUGUGGCUAAUGGGAGAAGGAAGUAUAACAGAAUUAGAGCUAUUCGUAGAGAGGGAGGUAAUGAUGAGUGGAUUUUUAAUGAAUAGGAAAUUAUAGAUAUGGCUACAAACUAGUUUACGGACCUUUUUUCUGAAUAGGUCAAUUCUUGGCCCCUAUUGGACACAUCAAUAAAUUAUCCUCCUUUGAGCGAGGACACGCUAGUUCACUUUGGCAGAGGAAUCGAGAAGGAAGAGAUAAAAGAGGCGAUUCACUGGAUGGGUGCUCUUAAAUCACUUGGUCCCAAUGGAUUUGGACCUAUAUUUUUUCAGAGUCAAUAGGAGCAUGUUGGUGACUAUGUGACCAAUUAUGUGCAGCAUCUUUUCCAGAAUCCACACGAAAUUAAAGAGGUGAAUAGUACGUUCAUUGUACUCGUUACUAGGAAGGAUACACCGGAGACACUUUGUGAUCUUCAUCCUAUUAGCUUGUGGAAUGUGAUAUUUAAAACUAUUAUGAAGGUGAUUACUAAUCAGAUGAAGUCUUUUCUCCCUGAUAUUAUUGCCCCUAAUCAAUGCAGUUUUGUUCCUAGUAGACAUAACACUGAUAACAUUGUUGUUGCUUAAGAAGUUCUUCAUUCUAUGAGAAUUAUGCAGAAAAAAACAGGUUUCAUGGCCAUUAAAAUUGAUCUUGAAAAGGCUUAUGAUAGGCUCAGUUGGAGUUUUCUGAUCAAUUGCCUUAUAGAAGUUAAAUUUCUGGAACAUAUUGUUAAUACUAUUAGACAAUGUGUCUUAUCAACAUCUUUGCAGCUGCUCUGGAAUGGUAAUAAAUCAAACACUUUUUUACCAACUCGAGGAGUACGACAAGGAGAUCCUCUAUCUCCAUAUUUAUUUGUCAUUUGCAUAGAAAGAUUGGCACACAUGAUUCAACAGAGAGUUGCAGCUAACGUCUAGAAGCCAAUCAGAUUAAGGAAAUAGGACCUAUUUCUCAUCUUUUCUUUGUAGAUGAUAUUAUGCUAUUUACUGAGGCUUCAGUGACACAAGCUGAAAGUAUUGGUGAUUGCUCAAGCCAGUUUUGUGCUAGCUCUGGGAUGAAAUUUAAUGCCCUUAAAACACGUGUAUUUUUCAAAGAAUGUUCAUAAUGCUUGACGUGAAGAAAUCAGCAGUACUUCCGGAUUCUCGAGAUUUGCGGACCUCAGUCGCUAUCUGGGAGUCCAUUUACACUCAACCGAUGGAUAAAGAUACUUUUGGAGCUUUGGUGGACAGAGUUAAAAAGAGGAAGAGAGAAGGAUCGAAUACUGGACUGGUAUUAAGGCUACUUGGAAUAAGGCGGAAGAUGGGACGGAGGUGAUUGAUAGUGGAAGGCAGGUUCGUUGGAAAUAGGAGAAGAAUGGUCAUUUCUCAGUUAAAUCGGCCUAUUAUCAUAUUACAUAGGAAGUGAAUAGCAUAGAUUGUAAAUAGAGAAAGAUUUGGAAGCUUAAUACACCUCAAAGAUGCAAGUCGUUCAUGUGGGUUUUCAAACAUAAUCGACUGCUUACUAAUAGUGCACGUUACAAGAGGGGUAAGAACACUGAUGGAUGCUGUGCUUGGUGUCCCAAUAUCACUGAAGAUGCGACUCAUGUACUUCGUGAUUGCCCCAGGACCUAUGAGUACUGGCAUAAGCACCUUAUAGCUGGAUAUCGUAAUGCAUUUUUUGAUAGUGAUAUGCAACAAUGGCUCAGUUGGAAUUUAAAUAAUGGCAGGGGCAAACUCUCGAAUGACUGGAAUGCGUUCUUUACUAUCGGUUGUUGGCUUAUGUGGCAAAGAAGGAAUAAAUGAAUAUUUGAGGAUAAGGAUAUGAACAAUGAAAAUAUAUUUCAUCAGGCUAAGUUAAUUGUGGAAUGCAUGGGAAAGCAUAAACAGAAGCUUCAGAAUUUCAAUUACAUAAGACAUAUAGAAAUUGAUAUAAAUGGCAUAUCUUGGAAUACUCCACCCCACAAAUGGAUGCUCAUCAAUGUUGAUGGAGCCUUUUUAUCAUUAACGAACAAGGGGAGUUGUGGAGGUAUGGUUUAAAAUCAUUAGGGAGACUUUAUGAUGAGAUUUAUGCAGAGCGGGAUAGGAGAGGACUGUUUACAGACUGAGCUUUGGGCUAUAUUACUGAGUCUUAAAGUUGCUUGGGACACAGGAGCUCAAAAGAUCAUCUUGGAAAGCAACUCUCUCUAGGCCAUAAAUUUAACUAAAAGCGAGCAAUCUGAGGUGCAUCAUGAUGGUAAUCUAAUCAAGGAAAUACAUUCCAUGUUGAAUAGGGAUUGGGAAACUGUUAUUCGACAUAUAAACGUGCUGGUAAUGCGGUUGCAUAUCAUCUAAUGAAGCAAGCUUUGGAUAGCUGCCCUGGUUUUAUUCAAUAUUCUACUCCACCUGAGGAAGUUUUAUCGCUUUUAGUAGCUAGUAUGAAUAAUAUGAAUCAGUCUUAACUGGUUCCUUCCUUUUUUAAAAAAAGAAAAGAAAAACAAGAAGAAGUCCCAUUAGUGUAAUAUACAGAAUAUUGCAUAGGUUAUAAUAUUGUAUAGAGAGGCAAUCGUCACAGGUUAUGUGGUGUUUCGAUACAUCAAGCUUAAUGAAGAUGCCAAAAUGGUCCUCUAGGAGCAAGGGUUGCAGAAUUUGGGACUCGGCUCAUUCAAUUACAGUAAUGUAUUUAGAAACCUGUCGGAUAGUUUUGAUAGAAAAUAAUGGAAGAGUAAGCCAGUCUAGAAAGUUGUAAAAAAAACCCAUUUCCAACAUGUCAGAACAUGUUUGAGCAUGAGUUUCCAA